rnacentral:rRNA from 1 species
AUUGAACGCUGGCGGCAGGCCUAACACAUGCAAGUCGAGCGGAUGAAGGGGGCUUGCUCCUGGAUUCAGCGGCGGACGGGUGAGUAAUGCCUAGGAAUCUGCCUGGUAGUGGGGGAUAACGUCCGGAAACGGGCGCUAAUACCGCAUACGUCCUGAGGGAGAAAGUGGGGGAUCUUCGGACCUCACGCUAUCAGAUGAGCCUAGGUCGGAUUAGCUAGUUGGUGGGGUAAAGGCCUACCAAGGCGACGAUCCGUAGCUGGUCUGAGAGGAUGAUCAGUCACACUGGAACUGAGACACGGUCCAGACUCCUACGGGAGGCAGCAGUGGGGAAUAUUGGACAAUGGGCGAAAGCCUGAUCCAGCCAUGCCGCGUGUGUGAAGAAGGUCUUCGGAUUGUAAAGCACUUUAAGUUGGGAGGAAGGGCAGUAAGUUAAUACCUUGCUGUUUUGACGUUACCAACAGAAUAAGCACCGGCUAACUUCGUG